rnacentral:rRNA from 1 species
GAUGAGCUCGCGUCUGAUUAGCUAGUUGGUGUGGUAAGAGCGCACCAGGGCGACGAUCAGUAACUGGUCUGAGAGGAUGAUCAGCCACACUGGGACUGAAACACGGCCCACACUCCUACGGGAGGCAUCAGUGGGGAAUUUUCCGCAAUGGGCGAAAGCCUGACGGAUCAAUACCGCGUGAGGGAGGAAGGCUCUUGGGUUGUAAACCUCUUUUCUCAAGGAAUAAAAAAAUGAAGGUACUUGAGGAAUAAACAUCGGCUAACUCCGUGCCAACAGCCGCGGUAAUACGGAGGAUGCAAGCGUUAUCCGGAAUGAUUGGGCGUAAAGGGUCCGCAGGUGGCAAUGUAAGUCUGCUG